UUGACAGCCCUGAAGACUAAAAUCCUUUAUUUAUCCACAGUGAUAGUACAGGCUUCCAUCUCAUCUAUGUAGUUCAGACUUAAGGUGGACAGAUCCUCUCUAGGGGUAAGACUAAUUCACUCCCCAUGCCCAUUCUGUCCCUGGCCUCU
rnacentral:sRNA from 1 species